rnacentral:rRNA from 1 species
AGUGGGGUCGCGUCCCUAUCAGCUUGUAGGCGGGUAAUGGCCCACCUAGGCUUCGACGGGUAGCCGGCCUGAGAGGGCGGACGGCCACAGUUGGGACUGAGAUACCGGCCCAGACUCCGUACGGGAGGCAGCAGGUGGGGAAUAUUGCGCAAGUGGGGAAAACCCUGACGCAGCGACGCCGCGUGCGGGAUGAAGGCCUUCGGGGUUGUAAACCGCUUUUGAUUGGGGAGCAAGCCUUCGGGUGAGUGUACCUUUCGAAUAAGCGCCGGGCUAACUACGUGCCCAGCAGCCGCGGGUAAAUA